UACAGGGGGGGCAAGCGUUGUUCGGAAUUACUGGGCGUAAAGGGUUCGUAGGUGGCCACUUAAGUCAGACGUGAAAUCCCUCAGCUUAACUGGGGAACUGCGUCUGAUACUGAGUGGCUUGAGUGCAGGAGAGGAAUGCGGAAUUCCAGGUGUAGCGGUGAAAUGCGUAGAUAUCUGGAGGAACACCGGUGGCGAAGGCGGCAUCCUGGACCAAUAUUGACGCUGAGGAGCGAAAGCUAGGGGAGCAAACGGG
rnacentral:rRNA from 1 species